UGGCGGACGGGGGAGUAAUGUCUGGGAAACUGCCUGAUGGAGGGGGAUAACUACUGGAACGGUAGCUAAUACCGCAUAACGUCGCAAGACCAAAGAGGGGGACCUUAGGGCCUCUUGCCAUCGGAUGUGCCCAGAUGGGAUUAGCUAGUAGGUGGGGUAAAGGCUCACCUAGGCGACGAUCCCUAGCUGGUCUGAGAGGAUGACCAGCCACACUGGAACUGAGACACGGUCCAG
rnacentral:rRNA from 1 species